rnacentral:rRNA from 1 species
UUUGGGGGGUAAUCGGCCCACCAAGGCGACGAUGGGUAGCCGGUCUGAGAGGAUGACCGGCCACACUGGGACUGGAACACGGCCCAGACUCCUACGGGAGGCAGCAGUGGGGAAUAUUGCGCAAUGGGCGAAAGCCUGACGCAGCGACGCCGCGUGAGGGAUGAAGGUCCUCGGAUCGUAAACCUCUGUCAGGAGGGAAGAACCGCCACGGUGCUAAUCAGCCGUGGUCUGACGGUACCUCCAAAGGAAGCACCGGCUAACUCCGUGCCAGCAGCCGCGGUAAUACGGAGGGUGCGAGCGUUAAUCGGAAUCACUGGGCGUAAAGCGCACGUAGGCUGCUUGGUAAGUCAGGGGUGAAAGCCCGCGGCUCAACCGCGGAAUUGCCUUUGAUACUGCCGAGCUAGAGUCCGGGAGAGGGUAGUGGAAUUCCAGGUGUAGGAGUGAAAUCCGUAGAGAUCUGGAGGAACAUCAGUGGCGAAGGCGACUACCUGGACCGGUACUGACGCUGAGGUGCGAAAGCGUGGGGAGCAACAGGAUUAGAUACCCUGGUAGUCCACGCCGUAACGAUG